CUAAAAAUACCUCCACAAGAGGCAUUACCUGAGUUUCCAUUUGAUGCACCAUCAACAUUGCAUUUUAACCAGUUCACAAGAGGAGGCAACCAGCAGGCUUCUUUAAAAUAAGUAGGUUUGGGCUGGUGAAUAUUAAUUCUAAAAAACUUCAAGAAGUUGAAAUCUCUUAUAGAAUUAGAGGAAGAUUUGCAAGUGUUGUUACCUGUAAGAGUGGUAUUAUCUAUGAUCAUUGCAAUAGCAGAAUCCCAAGACAUCAACUUGUUGUUAAAUCUAGCUUGAUUUCUGACAAACCAUAAAGUAUUGAUCAAGUUUAUGAUGGCAGCAGUUAAGGUAGUCUUGCACUAAGGAGACCAGUUUAAAUCACAUAGCUUCCAUAUGUCCUCAAUGGAGGAAAAUUGAAGGACCAAGUUUAGACAACCAGCCAGCCAAGAC
rnacentral:lncRNA from 1 species